GACAGAGGUCCCGAGCGUUGUUCGGAUUCAUUGGGCGUAAAGGGUGUGUAGGAGGUCGGGUAAGUCAGGUGUGAAAUCUCACAGCUUAACUGUGAAACUGCGCUUGAUACUGCUCGGCUAGAGGAUCGGAGGGGGUAACGGAAUUUAUGGUGUAGCAGUGAAAUGCGUAGAUAUCAGGAGGAACACCGGUGGCGAAGGCGGGUCUCUGGGCCGAUACUGACGCUGAGGAGCGAAAGCGUGGGGAGCGAACAGG
rnacentral:rRNA from 1 species